GACGAACGCUGGCGGCGUGCUUAACACAUGCAAGUCGAGCGGUAAGGCCCUUUCGGGGGUACACGAGCGGCGAACGGGUGAGUAACACGUGGGUGACCUGCCCUCAGCUCUGGGAUAAGCCUGGGAAACCGGGUCUAAUACCGGAUAUGACUCCAUGACGCAUGUUGUGGGGUGGAAAGCCUUGUGCGGCUGAGGAUGGGCCCGCGGCCUAUCAGCUUGUUGGUGGGUGAUGGCCUACCAAGGCGACGACGGGUAGCCGGCCUGAGAGGGCGACCGGCCACACUGGGACUGAGACACGGCCCAGACUCCUACGGGAGGCAGCAGUGGGGAAUCUUGCGCAAUGGGCGAAAGCCUGACGCAGCGACGCCGCGUGAGGGAUGACGGCCU
rnacentral:rRNA from 1 species